rnacentral:rRNA from 1 species
AUUGAACGCUGGCGGCAUGCCUUACACAUGCAAGUCGAACGGUAACAGGUCUUCGGAUGCCGACGAGUGGCGAACGGGUGAGUAAUGUAUCGGAACGUACCUUUCAGUGGGGGAUAACGUAGCGAAAGUUACGCUAAUACCGCAUAUUCUGUGAGCAGGAAAGCAGGGGACCUUCGGGCCUUGCGCUGAUUGAGCGGCCGAUAUCAGAUUAGCUAGUUGGUGAGGUAAAGGCUCACCAAGGCGACGAUCUGUAGCGGGUCUGAGAGGAUGAUCCGCCACACUGGAACUGAGACACGGUCCAGACUCCUACGGGAGGCAGCAGUGGGGAAUUUUGGACAAUGGGGGCAACCCUGAUCCAGCCAUGCCGCGUGAGUGAAGAAGGCCUUCGGGUUGUAAAGCUCUUUCGGCCGGGAAGAAAUCGUAUCAGCUAAUACCUGGUGCGGAUGACGGUACCGGCAUAAGAAGCACCGGCUAACUACGUGCCAGCCGCCGCGGUAACAC